rnacentral:rRNA from 1 species
UACGUAGGGUGCAAGCGUUGUCCGGAAUUAUUGGGCGUAAAGAGCUCGUAGGCGGUUUUGUCGCGUCUGCUGUGAAAACCCGAGGCUCAACCUCGGGCCUGCAGUGGGUACGGGCAAACUAGAGUGCGGUAGGGGAGAAUGGAAUUCCUGGUGUAGCGGUGGAAUGCGCAGAUAUCAGGAGGAACACCGAUGGCGAAGGCAGUUCUCUGGGCCGUAACUGACGCUGAGGAGCGAAAGCGUGGGGAGCGAACAGG